rnacentral:rRNA from 1 species
ACCGAGAGGGUGGCGUUUACCACGGUAUGAUUCAUGACUGGGGUGAAGUCGUAACAAGGUAACCGUAGGGGAACCUGCGGUUGGAUCACCUCCUUACG